rnacentral:rRNA from 1 species
AUUGAACGCUGGCGGAAUGCUUUACACAUGCAAGUCGAACGGUAGAGGGGGCAACCCCUUGAGAGUGGCGAACGGGUGAGUAAUAUAUCGGAACGUGCCCAGUCGUGGGGAUAACGUAGCGAAAGCUACGCUAAUACCGCAUACGAUCUAUGGAUGAAAGCGGGGGAUCGCAAGACCUCGCGCGAUUGGAGCGGCCGAUAUCAGAUUAGGUAGUUGGUCGAGGUAAAGGGCUCACCAAGGCGACGAUCCUUUAGCUGGUCUGAGAGGAUGAUCAGCCACACUGGGACUGAG